GCUGAAAAUGUAGAAUUAGUUAAAGAAAAUCAGGGGAAUUGUAGAAUCAGUGUGUGCAAUCCGGAUUAAGAGACAUUACCAUAGGAGUAAUCCAGGAGCUAAUACUUAAUCAGAAAUAAUUCCAAUGCAAUUAUGCCAAAGUUGGAGAAAUCGAAGGGCCACCAUGUGAAGCACUCCAAUCAAAUUCCUCAGAUCUUGCAACCUGUGUGUAAAAAAUAGAUCUAUGAUAUAUUUAAGAAACUCCACUGGAAUCUAAAUGGAACAAUAAUGCGCCCAAAAUGUUGGUACAUUCAUUCCUUUCUUAGUCAUCUGCGGAUAUAAACUUAGAAAUGUUGAACAUACAUAGAAGGGCAUAGAGAGUUGUGAAGAUCUUCUAAGCAGGGUAGAAUAUAUGCUCAGGAAUUCCUCGCUACAGUACCAUUCUUCCUCAAUGGUCUUUCAAAGGGAAACAGGGUAAUGUGUGGUCAGUCUUGUAUAUGUAGAGGUAGAGCUCUAUAACAUUGGACGUUGACAAAAUAAAGGAAGAAAGUGAUUAUACGU
rnacentral:lncRNA from 1 species